rnacentral:rRNA from 1 species
GACGAACGCUGGCGGCGUGCCUAAUACAUGCAAGUCGAACGCAGUGGGGACGGGUGCGUAACACGUGGGUAACCUCCCAUCAGAGGGGAUAACCCUUGGAAACAGGUGCUAAACCGCUACUGAUGGAUGGACCCGCGGUGCAUUAGCUAGUGGGUGGGGUAACGGCGCACCAAGGCCACGAUGCAUAGCCGACCGGAGAGGGUGACCGGCCACACUGGGACUGAGAAACGGCCCAGACUCCUACGGGAGGCAGCAGUGGGGAAUCUUCGGAAAUGGACGAAAGGCUGACGCAGCAACGCCGCGUGAGUGAAGAAGGUUUUCGGGUCGUAAAACUCUGUUGUUAGAGAGGCGGUAUCUAACCAGGAAGCAACGGCUAACUACGUGCCAGCAGCCGCGGUAAUAC